CAGCGGCAGACGGGUGNUAACACGUAGAUAACCUGCCCUCAAGACGGGGACACCUGGUGGAAACAGCGGCGAAUACCCGAUAUGCUCACAGGAUCGGGAGAUCGAGUGAGGAAAGCGCCCCUUCGGGGGAGAGUGUNUGAGGAGGGAUCUGCGGCCCAUCAGCUAGUUGGUGAGGUAACGGCUCACCAAGGCGAAGACGGGUAGGGGGUGUGAGAGCAUGUGCCCCCACAAUGUGACUGAGACACGGCCCAUACUCCUACGGGAGGCAGCAGCGGGGAAUAUUGCGCAAAUGGACGGAAGUCAGACGCAGCGACGCCGAGUGGGUGAGGAAGGCCUUCGGGUUGUAAAGCCCUUUUCAGGGGAGCGAGAAAGGACGGUACCCUUGGAAUAAGCGUCGGCUAACUACGUGCCAGCAGCCGCGGUAAGGACGUAGGACGCAAGCGUUAUCCGGAUUUACUGGGCGUAAAGCGCCUGUAGGCGGCCAAGUAAGUCGGAUGUGAAAGCCCGGUGCUCAAACG
rnacentral:rRNA from 1 species